GAUGAACGCUAGCGGCAGGCCUAACACAUGCAAGUCGAGGGGCAUCAUGGCGUAGCAAUACGCUGAUGGCGACCGGCGCACGGGUGCGUAACGCGUAUGGAACCUACCCACCGCAGGGGGAUAACCCGCCGAAAGGCGGACUAAUACCCCAUGGUUCCCCGACCCUGCCUGGGGUUGGGGGUAAAGCCUACGGGCGGCGGUGGAUGGCCCUGCGUGCCAUUAGCUGGCUGGUGGGUAACGGCCCACCAGGGCGACGAUGGCUAGGGGGUCUGAGAGGACGAUCCCCCACACUGGUACUGAGACACGGCCCAGACUCCUACGGGAGGCAGCAGUGGGGAAUUUUGGACAAUGGGCGAAAGCCUGAUCCAGCCAUGCCGCGUGCGGGAAGAAGGCCUUCGGGUUGUAAACCGCUUUAGUCCGGGAAAAAGGGGUGCGAGGAUAAUACCCUCGUGCUUUGAUGGUACUGGAAGAAUAAGCACCGGCUAACUACGUG
rnacentral:rRNA from 1 species